rnacentral:lncRNA from 1 species
CAAAGUGCAAUGUUCCAGCCCUAGCACCGGGAGCUUGGUGUAUCCUGCUCCCUAGCAGCCUGGCUCUGCUUGUUAUACAGAGCGUAUCUCUGCCUGAGCUGUCCCAAGUCCCAGCCUGGGAAAUCGAGGGAAAGCCAGCAUUUGCCUGCAACAGUGAAGAGCUUUGCCAUCUGUCUGGGGCUGUGGAGAUUCUUGAACAGUUGGGGUGUGAGGCCGGUGAGGAUGACGCUCAUCCCUUCUUGUGGUCUUCUCUCUGCUACUCUUAGAUCAUCUCUGGCGGGACUAUGCAUCCGUGGAAAGGACUAUUCUCUUAGAAAAAUAAUCAAUAUUGCAGAGGGAAAGGAGCAGAAUCAUAACAUUGAUCACAAAGACUGAUACAUUAUGGCACAAUAGACUUCUCUACUAGCAGCAACUCAAUGGCCCAGGACAAUCCAAAGGAAUUUAUGAAAAAGAAUGCUCUCCACAUCCAGAGAAAGAACUGUGGAAGCAGAAAAUGCAGAAGAAAAAUAUUUGAUUGAUCACAUGGUUAAAUGGGGAUAUGAUUGGGGUUUCAAUGUUAAAAGAUCAUUCUAUUUGCAAAUAUGAAUAACAUGGAAAUAGGUUUUGAGCAAUGAUACAUGUAUAACCCAGUGGGACUGCUUAUCAGCUCCAAGAGUAGGGAGGGAAGAGUGAUGGAGAAUUAUGAAUCAUGUAACCAUGGGAAAAAAGAAAAAUAAACAAUAUGAAAAUAUAUUUUGCA